GAAACUUCAAGCCAAGCUUGGUGUUGGGUGCUUGUCCCCUAACGGUAGACUCACCUCAAAUACAUUGGCGGCCGGUAUAUUGGCUACAGCGCAGCACAUCGCGUCUGGCGUCUAUAUACUGGUCCCCCAGAAGCAACCUCUUUU
rnacentral:misc_RNA from 1 species